CCGAGAACGUAUGUAUAUUGUUGAACCUCGUAAAAAUUUUUAUAUUUUUUCGUUUUUUCUUUAUCCGAUUCUUCAACACGUCUCAUCGUUCGGGCUACUCAAGACUUUGGUGGGGUAUGAGUUUGGUUUGCCCCACGGUAAAAGAUGGCAUUACAUGGAGGGUUCGCGAUGGUCGCACUGUAGCUUUUUGGGAUGAUAAUUGGAUUGAAGAUCUUGGUCCAUUAAGGAACUUGUCCUUCAACUCUUUGGAUGAUCAUGCUAGUACUAUCAAGGGCCGGAUGUCUCAAUUUGGCGAUGGGAUGAACAUAAGAAGUUUACAGUCAAGAGCGCCUAUACUUUUCGUUUGGGAGCUCCGGAUAAUACUAUAGAUAAUCAACAUUGGAAGGUGAUUGUCCAAUAUUGAGGGUUUCCUCGUGUCAAGCUACUGUUGUGGUGCUUGUAUCGAAAUAAACUGUUGUCAAAUGAAGAACAUUACAAGCGGCAUAUGACGUCUGACAUGUCUCGUGCAAUCUGCGGAGCAGCCAUGGAGUCAAAUCUUCACAUAUUCAGAGACUGUAUUAUUGCUCGGACAGUGUGGCAAGGGUUGAUUAAACCAAGUUGCACCAGGGCUAGAUCUUUCGGCUUUUGGGUCUCAACCCAAACAAACUAUUUAGCCUGUAGGAGAGUAUCUAGGUUCCAAAAGAAAAUCUCGGUCUUAAUUAACCAACAACUAGUCCAAGAUUCCCCUGAAAUUAAGCCGGUAUGAGUGGAUCUUAGUGACACAAACAAUCAAGCGAUAUUAGUUUAUAUUAUGUAACAGCAAAUUACUAGUUAUAAUUAGUCACGGGGGGCCUUUUUCUUUUCUUUAUGGUGGUGUACUUGGAAAAACAGUACUGUCUUGAGCAAGCAGCAGUAGGGCAGGUGACACCGGAUGGUACGGGUCAAGUAGAUGAGAGCUAUAUGGUAUAUUUUGUGAAACAGAGGUGGAGCCCGUGAAGGUUACGGAGAAGGAGCUGCCAUGGAAUGGACGGUCCGAUGGUCAUUAGGGGGAAAAACCUAGAUGACUUCUUUAUUUUGAUUUGGACCAUUGGAUAAGUCUAGAUUUGACGGCUAAUAAUCGGGCGACAGGAGUUUAGGAGGAAACCAUAGCUCACUUGGGUCCUCACACUUAGGCCUGUUUUACUGGGUUGUUCCAGACAUCUUUGUAACAAUAGGCUCCCGGUUUUGUAAAUACGGGCCUGAAAAAUGC